GACGAACGCUGGCGGCGUGCUUAACACAUGCAAGUCGAACGGAAAGGCCCUGCUUUUGUGGGGUGCUCGAGUGGCGAACGGGUGAGUAACACGUGAGUAACCUGCCCUUGACUUUGGGAUAACUUCAGGAAACUGGGGCUAAUACCGGAUAGGAGCGCCUGCUGCAUGGUGGGGGUUGGAAAGUUUCGGCGGUUGGGGCUGGACUCGGGGCUUAUCAGCUUGUUGGUGGGGUAGUGGCUUACCAGGGCUUUGACGGGUAGCCGGCCUGGGAGGGUGGCCGGCCACAUUGGGACUGAGAUACGGCCCAGACUCCUACGGGAGGCAGCAGUGGGGAAUAUUGCACAAUGGGCGGAAGCCUGAUGCAGAAACGCCGCGUGCGGGAUGACGGCCUUCGGGUUGUAAACCGCUUUCGCCUGUGACGAAGCGUGAGUGACGGUAAUGGGUAAAGAAGCACCGGCUAACUACGUG
rnacentral:rRNA from 1 species